rnacentral:rRNA from 1 species
GAUGAACGCUGGCGGCGUGCCUAAUACAUGCAAGUCGAGCGAACAGACGAGGAGCUUGCUCCUCUGACGUUAGCGGCGGACGGGUGAGUAACACGUGGAUAACCUACCUAUAAGACUGGGAUAACUUCGGGAAACCGGAGCUAAUACCGGAUAAUAUAUUGAACCGCAUGGUUCAAUAGUGAAAGACGGUUUUGCUGUCACUUAUAGAUGGAUCCGCGCCGCAUUAGCUAGUUGGUAAGGUAACGGCUUACCAAGGCAACGAUGCGUAGCCGACCUGAGAGGGGGAGGGGCCAACAGGGAAAAGAGAAACGGGCCAGAACCCUAGGGGAGGAAGCAGGAGGGAAAUUGCCGAAAGGGGGGAAAGCCUGAAGGAGCAACGCCGGGGGGGGGAUGAAGGUCUGGGGAUGAUAAAACUCUUUUAUUAGGGAAAAAAAAAGGUGUAAGUAAAGAGGCACGUCUUGAGGGAACCAAAAAAGAAAGCCACGGCUAAAUACGU